GGCGAUUUCCACAUUGCGAGAGCAGCAGCGCUAAUCUUUAUCGCCACAAUAGUUAGGGUUUUAGUUUUUGAAUAAAAAAAUUAGGAUUCUUCGCGCUAAAUUUUCCAAUUGCCGCUUUCUCUCUGAUGUCUUUCAAAACCUAACCGUUGCCUCUCUUCCUUCUUCUAUAAUCCGAUUUGCAUUCAGCCGUGACUGCAACUCCAGCCAAGGAAGCCAUCGUGACUCCAGCCAAGGCAGCUUUGCGACUUUAGCUGUGACUCCAACUCCAGCUCCUUCGGUUUCCUCUCCCAUCUCAGUUGUAGAAAAGGAAUAAUGAUCAUGUGGACGUUGCUUCUACGAGUGCGGUUGCAUUGGACAAUCGUCGUAAGAAACGUGAUUGGUCAAGGGGAUUCACUACAACUUCUUUGUCAAGUGGCCAAAAGGUAAAAGUUAGGACCAAUCGUUAUCACCAAGGGGUUGGUAAGGAGGCAUCACGAUUACUUAUAUGGAUGGGCACACAUGUAAGGACACCCACCACGAUGCCACUAAAUUAUUGGGAAUUACAGAAAGUUCCUCAAUACUAUAAGGAAUCAGUUUGGGAAAAAGUUACGGACUAUUAUGAAAUUGAAAUUUUAGCAAAAAAAUGGGUUAUUCGAAAAAUGGGUAUCUGGUGGAAGGACUUCAGGCUUGAAUUAAAAGAAAUAUAUGAUAAAUCAAUGACGAUUGAUGAAUGCUUUGCAAAACGUGAUGUCCGUGUUCCAUUGGAUUAGUGGAAAUACCUUAUAGAUAUGUGGGCUGAUGUGAAGUAUCAGGAAAUGUGUUCGUGGAAUAAAGAGAAUAGAAAGCAACAGAAAAUGAGGCACACUGCGGGCCGACAAAGUUUUGCCCAAGUUUUUGAUGUAAAGCUUCAGGAGAUUGGUGAAGAACCGUUAAAGAUCGACUUUUACAAGAUAACACGUGUGAAAAAGAACUUAGAGCCGGUUGAUGAAGAAUCAGGUAAAAAGCUGGUAUAUAUUGUGUUUUUUAUUCAUAGUUACUAGGUCCUUGAUCAUUGUUGGUAGCUUGCUCGGUUUGCAAUAAUUUGUAGAAAGAGAUGGAAGAUAAGUUAGCGGCAAUGCCAGUAGAAUUACAGAGAAACAAAGAGACUCAUGAGUCCAUAUGGACACAAUCAUUUGAUGAGGAAUCACAUGGCCGAGUGCGCCUAGUUGGAGUUGGGGUAAGCCCAAAAGACCUUGAAUCGUCGAAAAGUAAUGUCGUGCUAAACCGGAAGAACAAGGAGUUGCAAAAUAAAGUGGAGAUGCUAGAGGAGAAGAUG